ACAUGCUGCAGUGAGGAUGUUGGAACCUGGAUGAAAAGGUGCCGAUUCUUUUGAAACUUGGUUGUAUUUAGAUUAAAUUUUCAGUGAAAAUUCAGCCUGUGUGAAUCAUCCUUUAGAGGCUUAUUGAAAUGGGAUAAGAUAACUUCUUUCAGAAGAAACUCUCUCUGAAAUCUGCAUCUGCAUCACUCCCUAGCACCAGAAGUAUAAACACAUCACCAUAUUAAUCUAGGUCCAUGUAGCCUAAGACUGUCAGAUAUAUGCCAGUUGACAAUAGCUUUCCAAGACAUAAAGAAAGGGGUCUUUUUCAAUCCUAAUUCUUACGGUUCUUUGUCUGGGGAUGAUUAAACCUCCCAUCUUUUGCAUGCAUAAAAGGAUUCUAAAAUGGCUUCAAACCUCCUUUAGAUUUCUAAAAAUAAAGAUAGUCCCUUGUGCAAACACCAGAUCAUUACUGACUCAUGCGUUGAUGUCAUAUCAAGGCAUUUACAAGGCAAACUUUAUUAGUGGGGCAGUUUGCCAUUGCCUUCUGCAGUCAUCUACACUUUACCCCAAGCAAGCUGGGUACUAAUUUUACCAACCUCAAAAGUAUGAAAGGCUGAGUCAACCUUGAUCUAGCUACCUAAACUGACUACCAUCAGAAUCAAAUUGUAAGCAGAACUUUGACUACAGUACUGCAGCUUACCACUCUGUGCCAUGCGGCACCUUGAGAUUUCUAUAUAGGAGUGGCAUAAAUUGGCAUUAGCCAGGAGUGGACUGGGAAAUGAAAAUCACCUUGGAAUAAGCCAAAUUGAGUGGUCCCUAGAAGCCGGGGCAGCAGGGGCCACUCAGCCCAAUAGUUCCAGCAAUAAACAUUAGCUCAUCAGUUGCUUCCUCUUCCAAACUGACAGCAAAGCAGGAGUCAGUGGACAAGCUGAAACUGGUUACUUUUGCCAGUGAUCUGAGUCAAGUGGCCCUGGAAGCACUGACAGAGUGUCUGGGUCUUGGUUGUGUAUACCUGGCCAUCAGAAGCCCUCUAAGUCAGUAGCCCACCAGAAAAUUUCCGUGUACGUCAAAAGACCAGGCUACCCCAAAACACUAUGUACUUUGCUUUUUGAAGAAGCUUAGAUUUGUCCAUGAAAUGAUAAACCAUUCAUUUUCUAUCCAAACUUGUCAUCAUGAGGGCCUGCAAUUCCCACUGUGUUUUAACAAUUAGCACAAUGGAAAAGGUCAAUAAGUUACAAUUUGGGGGGAAAUAAUUAAAGUGGGGUGAUGAAAAGGCAUCCACACUACACAUUUCCAGCUGGAAAAUGCCUGGUAUUGUGCAAGUUGGUUUGUACAAUUCAUUGUACCAUUAUCAAAUGAGUUGUCAUGGUGAAAGUAAUGAAUGCAUAUUAACAGCAAUUAGCUACCCAAGGCUAUUCAAGGGAACUGACCUACGAUGGAGUCCAUUGAUGCUAAGCUAAUCAAAUCACUGCAUAACCUUAGCUCUAGUAUUUAGCAAACACAGUUGAUUUAUGUUUACAUGAUGAAUGCUUUUUGAUGUUUCUGUCGCUUCUAUGAGACACAUCUCUCUCUGAGGGUUCAUCUGAGGGUAGGAUUUUCAAAGUGACAAAUAUAUUUUAUUAAUCUCUGCUGCAUAUAUCUAUUUAAUAGCCACUAGAUAGUGACAGUGGGUCUGGACUCAAUGAUGUGCCCUUAGAAUAGACAGACCAGACUUGUCUCAUAGUUUUGACCUUUCCUCCAAAUCCCCAGUUGGAUCAGCUUUAGGACUUUGGGGUCCUCAGCAAAGAGAUUGUUAAUGGGAAUCUUUAUGCAAUCAGAAAGGAGUGAAUUAUGAGAACUGUACAAGAGUCACCCGGGCCCCUUUGACAAAUAUUCUUAAUGUCUCUCAUCGCACCACUCAUAUCCAAUAAAACAUCAUAUGAAAGCAAAUCAUUUGACUGGAUGGCUCCAUGUGACUCCAUUCUGAUGAAGGACUUUUCUUUAGUUUCUUCCCCUUCCCUUCUUAGCUGAGGAUGUACAUGCUAAGGGAAGAUCUCACUAUCAGAUUUAGUUAUUCAUUAAAUCAAAGUUAUACCCUGAGCUUCCCCUUUGGAAAAUCUUGAAGGCCUCUCCCUAUAUGGGCAUGAUUAAUCUUUCUAGGGCCACUGAUGGACUUAUUCUGAGGCUGCUUUUUAUUCUCUCUUUCAAAGAUGUAAGGAUAGUUGUCCUUGACUCAAGAGCAUUUUCUGUGGCAGCAUUAUCUUUAGGGAAAUGAAGUCUCUAGUGCAGUGAAGGCCAUAUGUCCCUUCUCAGCAAUGUAGAGGCAUAAAGCCACGUUAAUUAUGAGGGCUAUUGAAUGAAUGUGGCUUUGUUUGUGCCCCUUGUUAUUUCUGGAUGUUGAUUGUAAUGUAUUUUGACUUAUGUAUCGGAUUCUGUAAUCUUUGUUGUAAACCACUCUGAGGGUUUUUUUUAAAGGGAAAUUGUAUAUAAAUAAAUACAAAUUCAAGAUGGCA